CUGUCACUAAAUUAAAAACUCAGUUAGUCCAGCAUCAAAGUACAGUGAGUUGCUUGUAAGUCAAUAUGAUGAUCUCAAGUCGGAGGGACACUUAUACCCAUACCCUUCGUGAGCUAUCCUUGAUAGCAGAGUGCUCUGCAGUUGGUCACGUUCAAUGAUGAUGUACCCCUACAUCUCACUUACAUGCCAUACCAAUAUCUCCAUACUAUUUGGUUAUAAGGACAACCAACGUAUAUGGCACACAAUGACCUAUGCUUAUAACGCUAUUGUCCUAGUAACAGCGUAUCGUUUUGUCAGAACCAAUUUAAGGACUAUGCGAUAAAUUCUUCUUUAUCGAUCAAAGUAGUCCUAAGGACUUCGUCACAAUAUAGAAGUUCGUUAGAAGAUGUAUCCUUAUGAUGAAAAAUACCAAAUAAUUUUUAUUAUGUAUCAAUUCAUAUACAUUUAUAAUUAGCACAAUCAUCAAAUAAUUUGCUUUAGGACAUAAUUCUCAAUACUAUUCUGUCUGGUAGUGAGAUAUACCAUGAUCUCCAUCACAAUAUCAUCAAAACUUCUUUCGAAGGACUGGAACGAUUCCAACUCAAUCCAACAA
rnacentral:lncRNA from 1 species